rnacentral:rRNA from 1 species
AUGUCCGGGGCUUACUUCCGCAGGGGUGCCUUGCAAGGACGCCUCCUGCCUUUAAAUUGGCGGCAACGUGCCUCCCGUGUACUGCAAACCACAUCACACACUCCCAUCCCACCUCCACCACCGCGGUACGUACCGUUUGCGAUCAAAAGAAAGUCGAGCCAUAUGGCGAAGGCCGCAGCGAUGCUCGUGCUGGUGGCGCUAGUGGUGGCGGCGAUGGCAACGGGCGGAGCGGCGCAGUGCAACGCGGGGAGCCUGGCGGUGUGCGCCUCCCCGAUCAUCAGCGGGGCCAAGCCGUCGACGACGUGCUGCAACAACCUAAAGAGUCAGCGGGGGUGCUUCUGCCAGUACGCGCGCAACCCCGCGUACUCCAGCUACAUCAACAGCCCCAACGCCCGCAAGACCCUCACCAGCUGCGGCGUCGCCGUACCGAAGUGCUAG